rnacentral:SRP_RNA from 1 species
GCCGGGUGCGGUGGUGGGCACCUGUAGUCCCAGCUACUAGGGAGGCUGAGGCAGGAGAAUGGCGUGAACCCAGGAGGCAGAGCUUGCAGUGAGCCGAGAUCGUGCCACUGCACUCCAGCCCAGGUGACAGAGCAAGACUCCGUCUCAAAAAACUAAAAAAUAAAAAAAAAUUUACCAUUGUAGCCAUUUUUUAUUUAUUUUUUGAGACAGAGUGCCGCACUGUCAUCCAGGCUGGAGUGCAGUGGCGCAAUCUCAGCUCACUGCAACCUCUGCCUCCCUGGGUUCAAGCGAUCCCCCUGCCUCAG